GAUCAUCACACAAUCUUGACAGAAAAAGGCUUUGAUCCAAUGGCAUGGAUACCACAAUGAUUGGAAGUCUUUUAUCUGCUGUAGCCUUCAUCCACCUUCACAGUCGUUGUAACGUACACAUUGUUAUCCUCCGCCUGUUCUGCCAUUGAGGAUCUUCUUGGAUCGUUCUUUGUCUGGUUCCUCUCCCUUGACCUUACCACCAUGGGUGACCCUGCUGCGAGUACAUGACUCCCGAUGGCAUUGCUCACAAGGUUCAUUGGAACACCCAAGCCCACUCACCACUGCAAGCUCAGUAUUGUCUACACUGACUAGCAGCAACUCUCAAGGAUUUCAGACUGAGGAUUCUCCCUGCCUUAUCUGGAGAUGCAGGAAAUUGAACCUGGGACCUUCUGUAUGCAGAGUAGAUGCUCUACUGAUAAGUUCCCUUAACAUUUGGCGACCCAGAUGGGACUCUGACGAGACACUAAUAGGCUGCGGUAUUCCGCCCUCCUGAAGUGGACGGACCGGUGUGGAGAGGAAGACCGAGUGUUACCAAAGGGAGCGCGCCGACCAGUAAUUUUCACCGAUCGCCUUGCGGCAUGGGCGGUCUGUCUCUCUGUCGGAACCCUCCACCGGGAAAGGAGUGAGACAACAAACGGUUCCUGUGAAAGACCGGCCGGCACCGGAAUAGGGACCACCCCACCACGUCAGA